rnacentral:rRNA from 1 species
CGAACGGGUGAGUAACGCGUGAGGAACCUGCCUCAAAGAGGGGGACAACAGUUGGAAACGACUGCUAAUACCGCAUAAGCCCACGGGUCGGCAUCGACCUGAGGGAAAAGGAGCAAUCCGCUUUGAGAUGGCCUCGCGUCCGAUUAGCUAGUUGGUGAGGUAACGGCCCACCAAGGCGACGAUCGGUAGCCGGACUGAGAGGUUGAACGGCCACAUUGGGACUGAGACACAGCCCAG